rnacentral:misc_RNA from 1 species
UGAAAUAAAGCAGCAAGCCAAGGCAAUUGCUGAUGAGUGGAAGCCUAAGUUGGCUAGUGCAGGCAUUGAUGCUACCAAUGGAAAUUCAUUGGAAGCAGACGCAUUCUUGCAGCUUCUCUCCACUUUUAGAAUUGCUUCGGAGUUUGAUGAAGAAGAACUCUGCAAGCUUGUCCUUGUAAUUGCUCGCCGCAGGCAAGCACCUGAGCUCUGCCGUUCUCUUGGGUUAACACACAAAAUGCCAG